rnacentral:rRNA from 1 species
UACAGAGGGGGCAAGCGUUGUUCGGAAUUACUGGGCGUAAAGGGCGCGUAGGCGGCCUUCUAAGUCGAACGUGAAAUCCCCGGGCUCAACCCGGGAACUGCGUCCGAUACUGGAAGGCUUGAAUCCGGGAGAGGGAUGCGGAAUUCCAGGUGUAGCGGUGAAAUGCGUAGAUAUCUGGAGGAACACCGGUGGCGAAGGCGGCGUUCUGGACUGCAACUGACA